AUGAAUUCUAAAAAUGGACUAAACUGUGGUUUGUGGGACAAGACUUCUAAGAGACUUUCAAGAGAAGUUCUGAGUGACAGUCCGAAAGAAACACUGACAAACUGUCCUGUUUCUCAUCAUAGCUCUCAUUUUGUGGUCGAUUUUGGUGAUCCUUUGGGGGGUCUACUUGGUAGUCCCUUGAAAUAUAAAAUGUAUCACAAGUGUCUGAAGUACCCUACUGGACUACUGGUUGACCUCUGGACUCACGGGCUGUGAACAGUCUGACUUUUUAUCUGUUCUAUAAAUACCACCAUCUUAGGGUCAAGAAGGCUUGUUAAGAAAUAAUUAGUAUAACCGUUUUAAAAAUAUCAAGUGAUAUUGUUUUUGCCUUCUUGUCAAUUUUGGAAUUACUUUUUCCCUCUUCUUGACCCUUACAAUCUCUGAAGAUUUGUGUGGCAAAUUUUAUUACUGUUCCCAAUUGCCUGGGUUUUCCAAGUAGGAGGAUAAUACAUCCCUAACAGGGUGGGGAUGGGCUGUCAAGUGAUGGGCUGUGGCCAACAGGAGGUGAAGGGCCACGUUGAGCCUCCCCGGCCACCUAGCAGAAGCCAGGUCCUGCCUACGUUAGACAGUGAGCUCGCAAACCGCGGGUCAGGCCGCUUCAUCUCACCUCCCUCCCUGCAGCGUGCGUCACCAGGACGUGGAAUAAGGCCAGCAGUCCCAGAGUGGUCAUCAUUUCCUUCACUCAUUUUAUAAAUUUUUCACAUUUCCGGUUCAUCUUGUUUUUUUAAACCAUGGCCACUUUUGAUAAAUUUCCAACAAUUCGUAGGGAAAAAACUCCUAAAGCAAAAAACAAAUCCCCAAAAACUAUAAUUUUUAAAUUAAAAGCUCUAAAACCAUUAAAGAGGGUCUGGAAGGAAUUUCACAAGUAAUUUAUUAUGUGACGUGAAAGAAAUAGAUUGGAGAGAAUUGCUAGUCUCCAUAGUAAAAACAGCAUCAUCUUUCAUAUUUUAAUAUUUUAUGCCUCAGAUUCAAUAAUGUCCAGGUAUUUGAAAAUAAAUGAUUUCCAAACAUUUUGUAUGUGUCUGUGUGUGUUUGUGUGUGUAUGUAAUAUAUAUACAAUAUACUAAAUA
rnacentral:lncRNA from 1 species